CACUACUGCUUCAAUCGCAAUUGCGGUCUCCUGGUAAUCCUAGUGGGCGUAGUAUACUCAAGGGGAUCUUAAAAGAUGCACGAGCAUCAUAAACAUUAUUGCACAGACGCGCACUUCCGCUCUGGAUUCGUCCUCGUGUGACUCUCAGUUCAAUACCUGGGCAGGAUCGAGAGAAUGAGAGUAUUAGAACGAGUCUUGCCUGCUGCCCAGUCUUAUUAUAUCAAGAGGGGAAGAAUUUCCAACCAGUGAAGGAGCAGACAGGUGCGACAGAUCCUGGCUCCACCCUCUCCGUCACCCUCUCCUCCUGCAUGCACCUUGCCAGCUAACCAGGGGUCAUCUUCUGCUCCUCUCUGCCCUCACUGGGGGGCUGCUCCAACCCAGCCGACGCGAGGAAGCCUUUUUCCCCCAGAACAGCAGGGCAAAGAGCAAUAUGGUUCACCAGCCGUAAAAAACCUGGCGGGAAGCCAACUUUUCUCGUCCACGGUUCCACUGGUGCAUCCCGAAAAUUCACCGGCCAAUUUUGCUGUUUUACCUGGCAACCAGAUAUUUAGAAUAGAACAGGACUUCCCAGUGUCGGGUGGUGAUGUGCAAAAGUGACUCCUGGUACAGUAGGCAUACGUAACCAGCCACAGAUAAAAAAUUUUUUUACCAGCAUUUGGUUGGUGGCUGGUGUUCAUUUCAUACCCUGGUGCUGCAGAACCAUGAACCCAGAGAGGAAGAGCCGUGGUUGAAGGCUGUCCAGAACUCUUCCUGAAUGGCCCCCAGUCCCCAGAGUUUGAAAGGUGUGAAAAUAAGUUUCACCCUGCACAGCCCCCCCCGGGCCACCUCCAUGCCAAGCUACAAAAUUAAUUAUCGCAUUACAUAUCAGUUGUCUGGUUUCCGAAUUAUUGUAAAGUUAGAGCAUUGUUCCUGCGAAGAGAAACGUUGAAAUUCCGCGAGUUUAAAUAGCCCGUUUUUAAAAUCCUGAAUUACUUAAAGCUUGCAGUAGGCAACUGGCUCAACGGCUGCAGUGUUGUGAAAACAUUUUGAAAAUCGUAACACCCGUCGGUCCCGCCCACAGAGAAUGCCAAAUCUGAGGGCACAAACACGGUGCGUGGUGCUGGAUUUCUCUCAUACCAGCUUCUUCUGUGAUUGCCACCAGUUAAGCAUGACAGUUCCCUAAGAACUUUACACAAAUAAAGGCACUUUACACAAUGCGCAUUCUUAUUUAGCUACAGUGCAGUCUGUAAGCAUUUACAUUACAUUACAGGCAUUUAGCAGACCCUCUCACAUAGCAGAGCGAACUCACAUAGCAUUUUACAUUGUAUCCAUUUAUACAGCUGGAUAUAUACUGAAGCAAUGCAGGUUAAGUACCUUGCUCAAGGGUACAACGGCAGUGUCCUUACCCGGGAAUCGAACCUGCGACCUUUCGGUUACAAGCCCAGUUCCUUACCCACUGUGCUACACUCCGUCCUCCGUCCAUUUGGGCAGUGAAGCAGUUUUAAUGUGUAAAGGGCUCUAUUUCCCAGGAUCUCUGUAUAUGGAUGUAAGUGUCCAUAAUGUAAAGCCGACCGUCUGCACUUUAACCUCAUAUCCGUUGUUUCAUUUCAAAUCCAGUGUGCCAGAGUACACAGCCAAAAUAACAAAAGUUGUCACAGUCCGAAUAGCAUGGACUGCACUGUACACCACGUGUGUACACUGCAAGCAAUCUGUAGGGUGAAGUUGCCUACAUAUGUAAUGAAUUGAAGGAAUGCCAUGCAUUCUAGAAAAAAACAACACAAAAAACAAUAUGUGAGAAUAAAUUGAUGAUAAGAAGUCA